GAAGUGUGGCGAAAGUGGCGCUUUAUAUCUAUGGAUACGAUAAAAAUGCUGCGCAUGCGCAAAUCAGCCCAAUUUUACAUUAUCGCACUAGUGCGAUAAAGUAAACUUUGUUCUCGCGCGCUGUCAUGAAGUGCAUUCACUUUGGUCUGAAUUGCUUCACUAAGCGACCCACCCCCACCACGUUCGUUUCAAGACCUUUAUGUAAGACCGUGGUCUGAUGCUAACUUAGCGAAGAUUAUCUUAUUUCACAAUAGAGGUGGCCUUAUUCAUUAAAUAAGAUUGGGUGUUUUCGGCAGAAACACCGCUGAGGGGGCAAAUACAUUUGAUUGGUCAUUUGAUCGUUAAUCUUGAAACAGUUGUGAGAUUUGACCAAUCAAAUGUAUUUGCUCCCUCAGCGGUGUUUCUGCUGAACAUACCCAUUGCCUUUAUUAACUAUGAAUCGUACCGCUCGUAAGAAAAUGUUUGUUUCUUAUAAGACGUGACUGUGAAUCAUGCUGAAACAAGAUCGUCUUCUCCAAGGGAGGAUUUGAGGUACUGUCUUAAGGCCACCUUGUUUGGUGUCUAUAGCCCGUAUUCAGAACUCGCUCUUAAGGUCACUAACAGAGUCACUAUUAGUUAAAAGUGACUGCGCCGAGUUGUUAGUGACCGUAUUUAGAACUCGCUUUUAAGUCGCUUUUAGCUAAAGGUACGCUAACAGGGAGCAGCGUCUUGUAACAUAUACUUUCAACCGCGUUCGGAAUCAUUCGGGAAGACUCGGGCAUAUUCGAUUAUGUUCGGGAGUAUUCGGUAGCAUUCGGAAAGCGCGAACUUCAUAUUUGGUGCCCAUAGCAACCAUAUUUGAAAUUCGAAAUCACAAGAAUUUUCUUUCUCGAAGGUAAGCUAAUAACCGUUUGGCUGCUGACGAGCGCUAUCGCGCUCUUCUUAUGUUACGCCAAAAAUGCGAAGAGCGCGAUAGCGCUCCUCUUUUUUUUCGAUGCCUAGACUGCGGAGAGCGUAAUAAUGCUGAUCCAGAACACUAGAAUUUGUGUGUCCAGUUAAGCACCUUGCGUUUGCGGAGCAUACGAUUUUUAAUUGUUGUAAUAAUAUGACAUAUUUCAAAUCUACUUUUUUUUUGUUAAAUAACGGUGAACCCAAUGUCUGAUAUUUGGAGUGAAACUGACUCGGAAUCGUGGACUGAUGAUGAAAUGCAAGUUUGUGACAACGAAAGUGAUAGCGGAAGUGAUAUUAUUAUUCCUAAAAAGUGAUUACGGGCUAUUACAAAUUUAUGUAAACAAUUGGUAUUUUUUAAUUUUUGUUGUUGCAAAGUAAUACAAGUGACUUUAUCGUACAAAAAGUGUUUUACGUUUUUUCCCAUACACGCGCAAUUAGUGCCACAGUUUUGGCAUAUGUCCGAAAAAAUACGUCAGCAGCCAAACGGUUAAUAUUAAAUUAUACAUUAAAAUCGUGUAAAUGUGAUUACCAUGCAACGAAAAGAGAAUUUCACCAUCGAAGAAAAAGCAUUAGUCGUACAAUUUAUAAGCGACAAUCGUGAUAUACUAGAGAAUAAAUCAAAUAAUACUAGAUUGCAAAAGAGUAGAAGAGACAAAUGGAUGGAACUAACAGAAAAAAUGGCAGCGACUGGAAUUAAGAGAGAUUAGAAAGAUAUUAGAGAUGCAUAUCAGCGGUGGAAACUCGCAACAAAGAAGACUAUUUCUUGUUAUCGCAAGCAUGCGACUGGUACAGGCGGAGGUCCUUCACUUCCAAAACCUUCCGGGCUCGAUUUCACAACCAGUGAAAUUUGCUCGGAAGAUUUUGUGGAGGAUGAAAAUUCCCACGACUCCGAUAGCCUAAGAAGAACGAACCCAACAUUGAACACGGCGCAAAUGUCUGAGAACGAAGUCACAUACGAACUGGAUCCGACAACUGGUGAAAUAGUACCCAUACAGUCGAACCUACCUGAGGCAAAUCCGUCGUGUUCCACGGAAGUUGGAAAAAGAAGUCAUGGGGAUAGAACCUCGCCUGAGCCAGUACCAAAGAAGAUAAAAAAAAAUAUG